UUGUGUUAGUGAUUGCAAUAGAAAUCCUUUUUAUGAAGAAUGAAUAAAAAGAUUGGAAUGGAAAGCACGACUUUAA
rnacentral:sRNA from 1 species